rnacentral:rRNA from 1 species
AUGAACGCUGGCGGCGUGCCUAAUACAUGCAAGUCGAGCGAACAGAUGAGGAGCUUGCUCCUCUGACGUUAGCGGCGGACGGGUGAGUAACACGUGGAUAACCUACCUAUAAGACUGGGAUAACUUCGGGAAACCGGAGCUAAUACCGGAUAAUAUAUUGAACCGCAUGGUUCAAUAGUGAAAGACGGUUUUGCUGUCACUUAUAGAUGGAUCCGCGCCGCAUUAGCUAGUUGGUAAGGUAACGGCUUACCAAGGCAACGAUGCGUAGCCGACCUGAGAGGGUGACCGGCCACACUGGAACUGAGACACGGUCCAGACUCCUACGGGAGGCAGCAGUAGGGAAUCUUCCGCAAUGGGCGAAAGCCUGACGGAGCAACGCCGCGUGAGUGAUGAAGGUCUUCGGAUCGUAAAACUCUGUUAUUAGGGAAGAACAAAUGUGUAAGUAACUAUGCACGUCUUGACGGUACCUAAUCAGAAAGCCACGGCUAACUACGUG